AAUGAUAGUGUGGAGAGAGAAAGUUAAAAACUUUCAAGAGAUGGAGUCAUGGAGAGGAGGAGAGAAAGCUCAAAUGUGUAAGGAAAUGUAGACGGGUAAGAACAAUUUGAAGUUGGAUUGUUGGAGUACAAAAUUACAAAUAGGAAUAAAAAGGUAAAACACAUUUUAAAGAGUAAAUAGGGGUACAAAGGUAAAGUAACAUUUUAAAGGGUAUAAAAGUCCGUGCACUAUUCAUAAGAACAACUUUCUGCUUUUUAUAAGGUAGAGAUUUAAUAGUAUGAAAUAUUUAACUUUUAGCUUGUUUUAAGGCAUGUGUUUUUUUGGGUGGGUUAGGUAUUUGUUUGUUUUUUUGAGAAUACCCUUGCAUGCGUUCAUUUCUGCUACUCCUGAGCUUGUUCUUUCUCUCUCCUCUGAACCGAAUUUUCACUCUCCAUGGAAGCGGCUCCUGAGCUGGUUCUUUCAUUGAAUUGAAGCUGCUUCUGAGGUCAGAAUUUUUCGUUGGGUUGCUCGGAGUGAGGGUAGAAGAUACUUGAACGGUGGGAUAAGGGCGGUGGUGGUAGCGGUGGUUCCCUGGAUUGUUUGAUUAUUGUCAAUUACUCCGAUCUGCUAUUCAUGCAGUGAGUUACUUUUUUGGUAAGUAAUUAUUCUCAAUUUCAAGCUUGCAUGCAGAUUCAAAGACUUUUUCUUCUUUCUCUCUUCCCAUGGGUUCACCUUCUCAAGCAUCUCUUCUCCUCCAAAAGCAGCUUAAAGAUCUUUUCUUCGAUUGAUUUUCAGGGAAGACUCAACUUAUCAAUCAUUUUCUGAUCAACAAGAGUUGGUAUAAUGUUGAUUUGCCUGGAUAUGGCUUAUGGGUUGAUAUCUACACACUUUGAGGAAAGUGGAAGGAGUUGGUUGAGAAGGCUCGGGACAAGCAGUUGCAACCUCAAGAAUACAGUAUAGGUACUUGGUCACAGUACUAUGCUUUAGUCCGCACUUACUCUAACAUCCCAAUUAGUCGUUUAAUCUGCAUGCAAGCUUUGCAAAUACCUGUUUCUGGGUUUUUGAUUUGAAAUUCUGGGUUUUGAUCAGGAAUUUCGGGUUGUUGUAGGGUGAGGCGUGUAUGAAUGCCCAAACAAUCAAGAAAUUCGAUUAAAUUCAAUCACACAAAGAUGAAUUCUGUUUUCGAUUAUAAUUUAUAUCAUGCAUGAUGAAUUUGAAUGUUCAAUCUUAUUUUUGCUAUCAUGCAUGAUGAAUUUGAAUGUUCGAUCUGCUUAAUUGAAUGCCAAAUUAUAUUUUUUAGAUGCUUCAGCGAUUAAUUGAUCAAUUGGAUAUCGAUACCGAUAAAUUUUGAAUAGCACCUGAGUACUUGUCCACUGGGAAGUCCUUAGAGAGGACAAAUGUCUUUGGUUAUGGAAUUAUGCUGCUAGUGCUUGUGACAGGUCAACGGGCCGUCGAUUUUUCAUGAUUGGAAAAAGAAGAUGAUGUCUUAUUGCUUGAUCAUGUGACAUAGCUUCUGCUAUCCGUGCUUGGCAAUGUAAUUGUAGUACUCGGUAAUGAUAGCAAAGAACAAUGCAGCCACAAGCUCAAAUUGGACCAUAUACCUCAUAGUGUAAACAUUGUGGAGUUUGGCGCGGUUGGAGAUGGAAAAACAUUGAAUACGGGAGCGUUUCAAAAUGCAAUUAUCUAUCUAAACUCUGUUGCUGACAAGGGUGGCGCACAAUUAUAUGUGCCACCAGGGAGCUUCAAUCUUACUAGCCACCUCACUCUUUUCCUUAGAGUAGGAUGCUAUUAUCCUUAGAUCACAGGUUUAAUUGCUUUGCUGAAUUAUACUUGUAGUGCUCUAUAUAUGUACUUUGCUCACUUUGCAUUUAUUCUACAUUGAUUUUGUUAUUAGGAUUCAGAAGGAAUUACUUAGCUAAUGUUCCAUUCGUAAUAUCUUUGAGUUAUUGAAA